rnacentral:rRNA from 1 species
GACGAACCUUGCUAACGUUAUUCGGAAUUACUGGGCUUAAAGCGUGUGUAGGCGGAUUUGUAAGUACCUUGUGAAAUCCCACGGCUCAACCGUGGAACUGCUCGGUAUACUGCUUAUCUUGAGCCACUUAGGGGCUACCGGAACAAAUGGUGGAGCGGUGAAAUGCGUAGAUAUCAUUUGGAACGCCAAUGGUGAAAACAGGUAGCUGGGAGUGUGCUGACGCUGAGACACGAAAGCCAGGGGAGCGAACGGG